AUUGAACGCUGGCGGCAGGCCUAACACAUGCAAGUCGAGCGGUAGAGAGGUGCUUGCAUCUCUUGAGAGCGGCGGACGGGUGAGUAAUGCCUAGGAAUCUGCCUAGUGGUGGGGGAUAACGUUCGGAAACGGACGCUAAUACCGCAUACGUCCUACGGGAGAAAGCGGGGGAUCUUCGGACCUCGCGCCAUUAGAUGAGCCUAGGUCGGAUUAGCUAGUUGGUGAGGUAAUGGCUCACCAAGGCGACGAUCCGUAACUGGUCUGAGAGGAUGAUCAGUCACACUGGAACUGAGACACGGUCCAGACUCCUACGGGAGGCAGCAGUGGGGAAUAUUGGACAAAUGGGCGAAAGCCUGAUCCAGCCAUGCCGCGUGUGUGAAGAAGG
rnacentral:rRNA from 1 species